rnacentral:rRNA from 1 species
AUGUGGCACAAGACCGGCAAUACCUUGCCUCGAUGGUCAACGGCCGCCAGACGGGCAACAAAAAAGGUUCUGGUGCUGCACACCAACAAGAACUUCGACCAGCAGAGGACCAACUGGGUGAUGCACCAGUACCACAUCGGGGACCUAGAGCAAGAGAAGGAGCGGGAUCUGGUCCUCUGCAAGAUUUUCUACCAGACGAACACUAGGGCCAGGAGUAGUUUGGUAUUGGUAGUUGUACUACCUUGUCGUCCGCAAGUUGGUAUUGUUGUUAACGAUCUUUUGGCCCAGCCUAUGACGACAACAGGGCACAAAGAUCCAGCAGGUAUCUACUGGCCUCUGGCCUGCCAGCGUUAG